rnacentral:lncRNA from 10 species
UCGUCAUUCCCAAGCUACUCAAAAAGAUAUCUCUCUGUCGGCUAGGCUGGAGUGUAGUGGUGUGAUCAUCAUGGCUCACUGUGGCCUCAAACUCCUACUAUGGACAGGAGACAGGGAAAUACUGGGUAGAAGAGGACAGUUCCCCAGCAAAGGCCCCACCCUCAAGCCUGGAUACCCAUGGCCCUAAAUGGGAACAGGCAUUUCUGUUUUUGCACCCCAAAAGUUGACUUUUGGCCCACAUGCUCCCUAUCCUGUACCCAUAUAAACCCCAAAUUCCAGGCUCCAGAGAGAGACAAGGAGAUGAGGAGACAAGCAGACGAACAGCGGAACAAUGCAGCAGAGAAAGAGAGAAGAGAAGGAACGUCUGAACGUCGAGAGGAGUUCGGCUGCUGGACGGCCAAACUCCAGGGGAAGAUCAUCUUCCCACUCCAUUCCCCCUCCAGCUCCCCAUCCAUCCCACUGAGAGCCACUUCCACCACUCAAUAAAAGCCCCACAUUUAUCCUUCA